rnacentral:rRNA from 1 species
AUUGAACGCUGGCGGCAUGCCUUACACAUGCAAGUCGAGCGCGAAAGGGGGGCAACCCCGAGUAGAGCGGCGGACGGGUGAGUAACGCAUCGGAACGUGCCCAGUAGUGGGGGACAACCUCGAGAAAUCGAGGCUAAUACCGCAUACGACCCAUGGGUGAAAGCGGGGGACCGCAAGGCCUCGCGCUAUUGGAGCGGCCGAUGUCCGAUUAGCUAGUUGGCGGGGUAAGACGCCCACCAAGGCGACGAUCGGUAGCUGGUCUGAGAGGACGACCAGCCACACUGGGACUGAGACACGGCCCAGACUCCUACGGGAGGCAGCAGUGGGG